rfam:Escherichia coli str. K-12 substr. MG1655, complete genome.
UACAUCGAAUAAUUUGAAAAUCAAAGAGAUAGGUAGAUUUUCACUCGAAAGUAGUAUUACGUGUAAGUGAGGAGUAAUUAUUGUUCGGUAUCAAAGGGAGACAAAAAAAGCGCCCGCAGGCGCUUUUUAGAUUCA